rnacentral:tRNA from 1 species
GGUCGCGUGGCGCAGUUGGUUAGCGCGCUCGAUUCACAUUCGAGAGGUCCCUGGUUCGAAUCCAGGCGCGACCA